CAGCGGAGCCCGCGCAGCCGCAGCGCCCGGCCCGGGCACCGGGGCUGUGCCGGGGCUGUGCCGGGGCUGUGCCGGGGCUGUGCCGGGGCUCCCCGAACCGGCUCCCGAACCGGCUCCCCGGGCUGCCCCGCCGCCCGCACCGCGUUCACCGGCCCCGCUGCAAACGGCGCAGCCCGGGGAAAAACAAACAAACCAAACCAAAAGUGAGGUAACCCAGCCGUGCCGAGUGUUCCGCCGAGUGUCCGGCGGGGCGGCCGGUGCGGAGGCGCCGCGGCUGAGAGGGACCGCCGGGGAUCUCCCCCGCGCCAUCGCGCUGCGAACCGGCCUGACGGCGCCGCCGGGCCGGGCCGGGCCGGGCCCCUCCGCUGCGCUGCGCUCCGCUCGGCGGGCCGGGCCGGGCCCCGCGGGCAGCGCGGCCGGCGGCACCUCCCGCCCGCUGCGGCGGGGCGAGCGGCGGCAGGACCGGCCCCGGCGGCGGCGGAAGGAAGGACGGACCAAGAUGGCUGCGGCGGCGCGGGCGGCCCUUACCUGUUUUCUCCUUGAUCUCGCAGAGGACGCUGAACAAGGCGGGCUUCAUCCUGUGGCAGUUCAGUGCGUGCUUCCUGAAAGAGAGCAGAGACAAGAGGUUAACGCGGCUUCCAGCAACAUGGCGCCUUCCCGCGCAGGAGCCCGAGCCCGAGCCCGGGCCGCGCCGCCGCCCGCCCGCGUCUCCCCGCCGGGCCGCGGGGCUGCCGGCGAACGGGAGGCCCGGGGCCGGGUGUCCCCUCCUUCCCUCUGACUCCGGCACCGAAUUAUCUUUGUGCAAAUGCCGCCCGGCCGAAGGGGUAUAAAUCAACCUCCCUUGUCUCCGGUUUGUAAUUUAUCUGCCGACACUUGGAGGGCAGGGAGACAGAAAAGAAAGGAAGGAAGAAAAGUUGCACUCGCAGGGAGAGCGCGGAGCUGCCCGACGGACGGACGGACGGACGGACGGACAGAGCGGCUCCGAGGCCGCGUCCAGCGGAACGGGCAGGGCUCGGCCGCGGCUUCCGCGCACCGGGCGACAGCAUCGGCAUCGCACGCGGAUACAUUUAUUUUAUAUAUAUAUAUACGUAUAUAUAUAUAUAUUUAAAUUCAUUAAAUAGCAACUUUGGCUCUGC